rnacentral:tRNA from 2 species
GGCCUUAUAUUCAAUUAUGAUUUUAGACUGCAAUUCUAAAGGUGUAGGCAUACUAAGGCCU